UGAGGAAUAUUGGUCAAUGGACGAGAGUCUGAACCAGCCAAGUAGCGUGCAGGAUGACGGCCCUAUGGGUUGUAAACUGCUUUUGUUUGGGAAUAAUCGACAUUACGUGUAAUGUUUUGCAUGUACCAUUCGAAUAAGGACCGGCUAAUUCCGUGCCAGCAGCCGCGGUAAUACGGAAGGUCCAGGCGUUAUCCGGAUUUAUUGGGUUUAAAGGGAGUGUAGGCGGUUGGUUAAGCGUGUUGUGAAAUGUAGAUGCUCAACAUCUGAAUUGCAGCGCGAACUGGCUGACUUGAGUACACACAACGUAGGCGGAAUUCAUGGUGUAGCGGUGAAAUGCUUAGAUAUCAUGAAGAACUCCGUUUGCGAAGGCAGCUUACGGGAGUGUUACUGACGCUUAAGCUCGAAGGUGCGGGUAUCGAACAGG
rnacentral:rRNA from 1 species